rnacentral:rRNA from 1 species
CCUACGGGGGGCAGCAGUGGGGGAUAUUGCACAAUGGGGGAAACCCUGAUGCAGCGACGCCGCGUGGAUGAAGAAGCGCCUCGGCGCGUAAAGCCCUGUCAGCAGGGAAGAAAAUGACGGUACCUGAAGAAGAAGCCCCGGCUAACUACGUGCCAGCAGCCGCGGUACUACGGCGGGGGCAAGCGUUAUCCGGAUUUACUGGGUGUAAAGGGGGCGCAGACGGCGAUGCAAGUCAGGAGUGAAAGGCCGGGGCCCAACCCCGGGACUGCUAUUGGGACUGCGUGGCUAGAGUGCAGUAGGGGCAGGCGGAAUUCCUGGUGUAGCGGUGAAAUGCGUAGAUAUCAGGAGGAACACCGGUGGCGAAGGCGGCCUGCUGGACUGCAACUGACGUUGAGGCCCGAAAGCGUGGGGAGCAAACAGGAUUAGAUACCCCAGUAGUC